AAGGAAACAUUUCAACAGAGAACCCUGUGGAAACUGAGACCAUCUUCUCGAAGUCCUGAACUCCCCAUUCCUACUUCUGAAGGCACCCUUUUGUUCACAGCAGCUAAAGCUAGCCUGAAGUCCAGUUCCUUGCGAUGGUGGUUCUGUUUGGAUGUUGGAUACACACCUUUCCAAGCAUUGUGGUCUCCAAAUACUGUCAUCCAGGGCCCUGCAGCAACUGAACAAGGAGAAGAUACCCUGUUGUGUCAUCCUGAUCUGAAAUAAUACAUAGGAUGAAAGCACAUGGUUAAGUUAUCUACCAACCUGACAGGAAUGGAUUCCAGAUAUAUGGAACACCAUCGCCUCACUCUUUGCCAGUAUACUCCUGGAAGGGCAAGCCUAUGGGUCCUUUUCUGCCAGGGAGACGUCAGGUGGAGAACCCUUCACUGUGUCCCCAAGCCUCAUCUGUCACCUUCUCCAGCUCCAUCUGGGCUUCCGGAGAGAGGGCUGCAUGAUCGAAACAGUGCAGGACACUCAGAGCCAAGUGCCCACAGCCACACCAGGAAGCAAGACCACAGCUUGUUCGACUCUCGAGAAGUCAUCGGGAAAGCGGCCCUGGAAGUCAGGCCUCAGAGGAUGCGGGCACUCUCUCGGAGACGGCUCCAGGUGGUACCGAGUGCCACCUGCACUCCCCGCUUCCCCAUUAAGUGCUCCGCACAAACCUGCCCUGGGCAGGGGAGGGGAGGUGGCGGGCGGGGACUGGGUCUGCCCAGGGGCUCUAGCGGGUCUCCUCCCGGUCUGGAGGCAGCGGCGGCAGCAGCAGCAGCAGCAGCGAGGUCCGAGUUGAAGUUGGCACCUUCUAGCUUUGUGGGAAACAACAUAAAAACGUACUAUUAG
rnacentral:lncRNA from 1 species